UGGGGAAUUUUGGACAAUGGGCGCAAGCCUGAUCCAGCAAUGCCGCGUGCAGGAUGAAGGCCUUCGGGUUGUAAACUGCUUUUGUACGGAACGAAAAGCCUCUCUCUAAUACAGGGGGGUGAUGACGGUACCGUAAGAAUAAGCACCGGCUAACUACGUGCCAGCAGCCGCGGUAAUACGUAGGGUGCAAGCGUUAAUCGGAAUUACUGGGCGUAAAGCGUGCGCAGGCGGUUUUGUAAGACAGUGGUGAAAUCCCCGGGCUCAACCUGGGAACUGCCAUUGUGACUGCAAGGCUGGAGUGCGGCAGAGGGGGAUGGAAUUCCGCGUGUAGCAGUGAAAUGCGUAGAUAUGCGGAGGAACACCGAUGGCGAAGGCAAUCCCCUGGGCCUGCACUGACGCUCAUGCACGAAAGCGUGGGGAGCAAACAGGAUUAGAUACCCUGGUAGUCC
rnacentral:rRNA from 1 species